CUCCAGUGAUGAUGGUCUCCUCGUUGCCUCCACAAUGGAGAGCCUAAGGCCUGGUCCUGCAGUUCAACAGGAAUCUUCUACAGAGGAAGAAUGAUGGCGGAGGAGGCUAACGAAUUGUGACAAGUCCAGCAGGUGACACUAAAGGGUUCAGGGCACAGCCCAGGGCCAGCAGGCUGAAGUUUUAAGAGGUCCAAUUGCCAGCUCCCAGAAACUGAGCUGAGUGUGCAGUCAUCCCUUAGCCGUGUGGAGGGACAGGUUUCUGGGACUACCACCUGGGGCACCCUUCACCUUGAGACCCAGCAAAAGAGGGCCAUCUCUACCUGCCCAACCCUUGCUCUCUUUCUGCUCAUGCGGGGCCACUGUCUCCAGCCAGUUCCAGCUGCUUGUGCCGGUCACCCGAUCCACCCUGUAGCCCUGCAAACUUUAUGAAGGGUCAAGGUGAGAGACACCUUU
rnacentral:lncRNA from 1 species